AUUGGCAUUGGACCUUCAUUUCUGUUAGAUAAGUUGGCCAUGGUUGCUUAUCAGCAGGGUUGGUUCCAGUGUGGAGUCCAUACCCUGAGCACACAACUGACUUGAAAUGAAGAGGGGGGAAUAAUAAGAGAGUCAUCGUAGCUCCAGGUGCUGUGUCAUGGAGAACUCAGGUCUGGCGGACUGCAAAGCUGACACCUGUCUGCUACAAGCAGUUUCCCCUUCGCAUCUCAGGUCAGGAAACUUAGAGAUUAUCCAGGCCAACCAUCCUUCAGAGCAAUCAGUGAAAAUUCCAGCUGGCGGAUGGCUGUUCACUAUCACUGAGGAGGGGCAACAUCACUUCCCAUGAAAAUGCUGCUGCUAAGAUCCUCCUCAACACCCCUGUCAAAAGGGGCACACCUGGGCACCUGAAGAAACCUUAACAACUCAAUGAUUUCACAAUUGUCAUUCAUAUACCAAGCAGGAUGUUCUAUUCUGUGAAUGUACCUGUGUUUUAAAGAAUAAGAACACCAGCGAUAUAAAUGCUUAAAUGAAAAGUACAUGGGGGAGGAUGGGUGGCCCAGAGCCACAAGAUCCAAUAGUCCUACUAAUAGCUAAAGGGAGGCUGGUAAUGUGCAAAUCAGUCUCCAUUUCAGGGCCUCAACAUGACGAAGUCAUCACAUUCACAAACUAGACUCUGGGCCUUUUCGAAGAUCUAGAGCCAAAACCUCUGCUCUACUCCUUAACGAAGUCAGGCAUCCUGCAGUGACUAUGUGAGCCUAGUUUUGGAGGACAGUGCAAAGUGGAAAGUGGGAGUCCAAGAGGAUGUUGGAAAUGCUGGAGAAACGAACUUCUAAGGAACAGCAAGGGGGCAGCUGUUGGGACCUCACACCAAGGCUCAAGG
rnacentral:lncRNA from 10 species